rnacentral:rRNA from 1 species
UACGUAGGCAGCAAGCGUUGUUCGGAAUUACUGGGCGUAAAGAGUGUGUAGGCGGUGUUCUAAGUCUGUUGUGAAAUCUCCCGGCUUAACUGGGAGGGUGCGGCGGAAACUGGAAUGCUAGAGGAUGGGAGAGGUAAGCGGAAUUCCUGGUGUAGCGGUGAAAUGCGUAGAUAUCAGGAGGAACACCUGUGGUGUAGACGGCUUUCUGGACCAUAGCUGACGCUGAGACACGAAAGCGUGGGUAGCAAACAGG